rnacentral:misc_RNA from 1 species
GAUGAAGAACGCAGCGAAAUGCGAUACGUAGUGUGAAUUGCAGAAUUCAGUGAAUCAUCGAAUCUUUGAACGCACAUUGCACCUCUCGGUAUUCCGGGAGGUAUGCCUGUUCGAGCGUCAUUUGUACCCUCAAGCUCUGCUUGGUGUUGGGUGUUUGUUCCGCCUCUGUGUGUGAACUCGCCUCAAAACAAUUGGCAGCCGGCGUACUUGUUUCGGAGCGCAGCACAUUUUGCGAUCCAGAUCAACGUACAGCGGCAUCCAAGAAGCCUUAUUUAACGCUCUUGACCUCGGAUCAGGUAGGGAUACCCGCUGAACUUAAGCAUAUCAAUAAGCGGGGGA